GGCUCAGAACGAACGACUGGCGGGCAGGGCUUAACACAUGCAAGUUGUAACGGGAAGUUGUGUGGUGCUUGCACUAGACAAUGAGAGUAGCGCACUGGUGAGUAACACGUGGGAACGUGCCUUGAAGUGGGGGACAACAGUUGGAAACGACUGCUAAUACCGCAUACGCCCUGAGGGGAAAGAUUUAUCGCUUCAAGAUCGGCCCGCGGAAGAUUAGGCAGUUGGUGGGGUAAAGGCCUACCAAACCUACGAUCUAUAGCUGGUCUGAGAGGACGAUCAGCCACAUUGGAACUGAGACACGGUCCAGACUCCUACGGGAGGCAGCAGUGAGGAAUAUUGGGCAAUGGAGGGAACUCUGACCCAGCCAUGCCGCGUGAGUGAGAAGGUCUUCGGAUUGUAAAGCUCUUUCGGAUGGGACGAUGAUGACGGUACCAUCUAAAGAAGCCCCGGCAAACUUCGUGCC
rnacentral:rRNA from 1 species